rnacentral:misc_RNA from 1 species
GAGUAAGGGUCUUCGGGCCCGAACCUCCAACCCUUUGUCGUUAUACAAACCUUUGUUGCUUUGGCGGGACCGCCGGCCCUUUGCGGGGCCGGCCGCCGGUCCUCGGCCCGGCGAGCGCCCGCCAGAGUCAAAAAUCACAACUCUUGUUUAAACAGUACGUCCGAGUCAAUUGAUAAAUCAAUCAAAACUUUCAACAACGGAUCUCUUGGUUCU